CAUGCGUGUGUGUGUGUGUGUGUGUGUGUGUGUGUGUUUUGGUUAUGUAAAUAGCAGCUGUCGGAAAGCCUGAGCACCCUUGAAACCACGAAGAGGGGAAGCACUUAUAUUUUUAUUACCCUGAUAGUCUCCCUGAUUUAAUACACACACACACACACACACACACACACACAUA
rnacentral:miRNA from 1 species